UCCAUGUGUAUAGCCGACGUGGUGGUA
rnacentral:sRNA from 1 species